rnacentral:rRNA from 1 species
UGGUGGAGUGAUUUGUCUGGUUGAUUCCGUUAACGAACGAGACCUUUUCUGCCAAAUUGCCAACUCUUACUCUAGUAGAAGCUGGUAACUUGGAGGACAACAUGUGGAAAGCAUGGGGAAGAAAAAGGCGAAAACA